rnacentral:rRNA from 1 species
CGGGUGGCGGACGGGUGAGUAAUGUCUGGGAAACUGCCUGAUGGAGGGGGAUAACUACUGGAAACGGUAGCUAAUACCGCAUAACGUCGCAAGACCAAAGAGGGGGACCUUCGGGCCUCUUGCCAUCGGAUGUGCCCAGAUGGGAUUAGCUAGUAGGUGGGGUAACGGCUCACCUAGGCGACGAUCCCUAGCUGGUCUGAGAGGAUGACCAGCCACACUGGAACUGAGACACGGUCCAGACUCCUACGGGAGGCAGCAUG